rnacentral:rRNA from 1 species
GAGGACUCUAAUGAGACUGCCAACGAUAAGUUGGAGGAAGGUGGGGAGUGACGUCAAAUCAUCAUGCCUUAUGACCUGGGCUACAAACGUAACUACAAUGGCCAAUACAAAGAGAUGCGAAGCGGUGACGUGGAGCGAACCUCAGAAAGUUGGUCUCAGUUCAGAUUGAAGUCUGCAACUCGACUUCAUGAAGGCGGAAUCGCUAGUAAUCGCGGGUCAGCAGACCGCGGUGAAUACGUUCCCGGGUUUU